rnacentral:rRNA from 1 species
UAGGGAAUCUUCGGCAAUGGACGAAAGUCUGACCGAGCAACGCCGCGUGAGUGAAGAAGGCUUUCGGAUCGUAAAACUCUGUCGUUAGGGAAGAAAAAGGACGUUGUAAACUAAAGGUCCCCUGACGGUACCUACCAAAAAAGCACCGGCUAACUACGUGCCAGCAGCCGCGGUAAUACGUAGGUGGCAAGCGUUGUCCGGAUUUAUUGGGCGUAAAGCGAGCGCAGGCGGUUGCUUAAGUCUGAUGUGAAAGCCCCCGGCUCAACCGGGGAGGGUCAUUGGAAACUGGGAGACUUGAGUGCAGAAGAGGGGAGUGGAAUUCCAUGUGUAGCGGUGAAAUGCGUAGAUAUAUGGAGGAACACCAGUGGCGAAGGCGGCUCUCUGGUCUGUAACUGACGCUGAGGCUCGAAAGCGUGGGGAGCAAACAGG